CUACAAAGAGCACACGGAGGAUGCCUAGGCGCCAGGAGCCGACGAAGGACGUGGCGAACAACGAUAAGGCCUCGGGGAGCUGUAAGCAAGCUUUGAUCCGGGGAUGUCCGAAUGGGGAAACCCGGCUGUCUUCAUCGACAGUCACUACUCACUGAAUUCAUAGGUGAGUGAGAGGCAGACCAGGGGAACUGAAACAUCUAAGUACCCUGAGGAAGAGAAAACAAUAGUGAUUCCGUCAGUAGCGGCGAGCGAACGCGGAUUAGCCCAAACCAAGGAGCUUGCUCCUUGGGGUUGUGGGACGUCUCACAUGGAGUUACAAAGGAACCGGUUAGAUGAAGAGGUCUGGAAAGGCCCGCCAGAGAAGGUAAAAGCCCUGUAGUUCAAAACUUGUUCCCUCCGAGACGGAUCCCGAGUAGUGCGGGGCACGUGAAACCCCGUAUGAAUCCGGCAGGACCAUCUGCCAAGGCUAAAUACUCCCUGGCGACCGAUAGUGAAGCAGUACCGUGAGGGAAAGGUGAAAAGCACCCCGGAAGGGGAGUGAAAUAGAUCCUGAAACCGUGUGCUUACAAGAAGUCAGAGCCCGAUCUAUGGGUGAUGGCGUGCCUUUUGUAGAAUGAACCGGCGAGUUACGUUCCCGUGCAAGGUUAAGGUGAAGAGCUGAAGCCGCAGCGAAAGCGAGUCUGAAUAGGGCGAAUGAGUACGUGGACGUAGACCCGAAACCGGGUGAUCUACCCCUGUCCAGGGUGAAGGUGCGGUAACACGCACUGGAGGCCCGAACCCACGCAUGUUGAAAAAUGCGGGGAUGAGGUGGGGGUAGCGGAGAAAUUCCAAUCGAACCCGGAGAUAGCUGGUUCUCCCCGAAAUAGCUUUAGGGCUAGCCUCGGAAAGAAGAAUCGUGGAGGUAGAGCACUGAUUGGGUGCGGGGCCCGCAAGGGUUACCAAGCUCAGUCAAACUCCGAAUGCCAUAGAUUUAGUUCCGGGAGUCAGACAGUGAGUGCUAAGAUCCAUUGUCGAAAGGGAAACAGCCCAGACCAUCAGCUAAGGUCCCCAAGUGUGUGUUAAGUGGGAAAGGAUGUGGAGUUGCACAGACAACCAGGAUGUUGGCUUAGAAGCAGCCACCAUUGAAAGAGUGCGUAAUAGCUCACUGGUCGAGUGACUCUGCGCCGAAAAUGUAACGGGGCUAAACACACCACCGAAGCUAUGGCUUGAUGCUUGCAUCAGGGGUAGGGGAGCGUUGAAUGCGGGUUGAAGGUGUACCGGAAGGAGCGCUGGACUGCAUUCAAGUGAGAAUGCCGGUAUGAGUAACGAAAAGAUCUGUGAGAAUCAGAUCCGCCGAAAGCCUAAGGGUUCCUGAGGAAGGUUCGUCCGCUCAGGGUAAGUCGGGACCUAAGGCGAGGCCGAU
rnacentral:rRNA from 1 species